AUGCAUGAGUUAACUAAGGAAAACAUUGAGCGUAUGAAUGCUAAAUAUAAACUUGCUGGGGAUAAGGGUAGAAAACAUGUUGUGUUUGCACCUGGAGAUCUUGUUUGGUUACAUUUGCGUAAGGAUAGAUUUCCUGAUUUGCGCAAAUCAAAGCUAAUGCCACGUGCUGAUGGUCCCUUUAAGGUGUUAGAGAAAAUAAAUGAUAAUGCAUAUAAACUUGAGCUGCCUGCAGAUUUUGGGGUUAGUCCCACUUUUAACAUUGCAGAUUUGAAGCCUUAUUUGGGUGAGGAAGAUGAACUUCCGUCGAGGACGACUUCAUUUCAAGAAGGGGAGGAUGAUGAGGACAUCAAUACAAUUGUUACACCCACAGCCCCUGCUGCUAUACAUACUGGACCAAUUACUAGAGCUCGUGCACGCCAACUAAAUUACCAGGAAACAGACCCUCGUGGUCAGGUUGAUCGUGCUCCGGCGUGGUCAAUAACCUCUCGGAGUUGGUUUAGCGAUUGCUAA
rnacentral:rRNA from 1 species